UACGGGGGGGGCAAGCGUUGUUCGGAAUUACUGGGCGUAAAGGGCUCGUAGGCGGCCAACUAAGUCGGAUGUGAAAUCCCCAGGCUUAACCUGGGAAUUGCAUCCGAUACUGGAUGGCUUGAAUCCGGGAGAGGGAUGCGGAAUUCCAGGUGUAGCGGUGAAAUGCGUAGAUAUCUGGAGGAACACCGGUGGCGAAGGCGGCUACCUGGACCGAUAUUGACGCUGAGACGCGAAAGCGUGGGGAGCAAACAGG
rnacentral:rRNA from 1 species